CCAACAAGUUUAUGUUACUACGGCUCCCUUUUUCUUGAAGCACCGUAUCCGAGAAUGUGUAAGAACUCUCAAAGGGCUCUCUAGAUAAAUACAAAUGAAGAAUCAAGGGCUGAAAAAACAAAACCUGAAGAUGCAUAAACUUUACUCGGUCCGAAAACAGUUAAUCUGGUAUUGCUUUUAGUACCUGAUUGCUUUAGCAACCUCAAAGAAAUGGGCAACAUUUUCUUCAGGUGUACCUACUUUAAUCCCAUGACCGAGAUUCAAUAUAUGUUUCCCUUUACCAGCUUUUGUCACAGUAUCAUGUAUCCGAUUGGUGAUGAAGUCCUUUGAACCGAACAGAACUCCAGGAUCAACGUUUCCCUGGACAGCAAUAUCGUGUCCAAGUCGUCUUCUACCU
rnacentral:lncRNA from 1 species